UACGUAGGGGGCGAGCGUUGUCCGGAAUCAUUGGGCGUAAAGCGCAUGUAGGCGGCCAUGUUAGUCGGAUGUGAAAUCCCGAGGCUCAACCUCGGAACUGCACUCGAUACUGCAUGGCUUGAGGAAGGUAGAGGAGAGUGGAAUUCCCGGUGUAGCGGUGGAAUGCGCAGAUAUCGGGAGGAACACCAGCGGCGAAGGCGGCUCUCUGGGCCUCUCCUGACGCUGAGAUGCGAAAGCGUGGGUAG
rnacentral:rRNA from 1 species